CCUUCUUGGUCACAUCCCCUGUAGUUCACCUUCUGCAAGUUUACAGGAUGCUCUUCUACGCUCUUAUCCACCGGCAAACUUGUAUACAUUUUUUAAAGCUCAGCUCACACAGACCUCCCUGAAGACUCUCCAGAAAGUAGUUCUUCCUUUUACUUCUGAGCCUUGCGCGCAUUCUCACUAAUACACGAGUCACAUUAUACGUUUCUCCACAUUCCGUCAUGGACUCUGAACUGAGUUGGGGUCCGUGUCUUGUGGUGUUUGUGUCCUGGGGGCAUGAUUCACAGAGCCCUUCUUGCACUUCUGUAGUCGGACAUCUAUGAUCAUCUGCCACACUUCCGCGAACACACCAGCCCUCCAAUCACCUCGUUGAAACGAAACCAAAAUGAGAACUGAAGAAUUCCCGUGGCCCUGCUGCUGACUCACAGCUUCCUUACUGGACGCACCUCCAGGCCACCUGCCUAACCCGGAGUCAUGAGGAAUCAGGUCCAAAGAUGCCUACAUUUGACCAGCUCAUUGUUCACAGGUCCAUGUCAUCUGCCUCUGCCACCCUCUGCCUUUUUCUCGGCAGCUGGUGCUUCCAGAACAUUGAUUUCAGAAUUGGGCACACGCAUGGGCUGAAUGAUGCCUACCCC